UGGACGUGAUGGGGAAAGGCAGACCACCAUUUGUUGUUCUGAGUAUGAAGAAAUUUAGAAACAAAGAAUAAAACAAGGGUAGUAAAUGAAAGCUUAAAUCCAAUUUGGAACCAGACCUUUGACUUUGUCGUGGAAGAUGGACUACAUGAUAUGCUUAUUUGGAAGUCUAUGACCAUGAUACCUUUGGAAAGGAUUACAUUGGGAGAUGCAUCAUGACACUAACAAGGGUGAUAAUGGAGGGAGAAUUUACUGAGAGUUUUCCUUUAGAGGGGGCUAAGUCUGGAAGGUUGAAUUUGCAUCUUAAGUGGACGCCGCAGCCAAUUUACCGGGACCUAUAAAUCAUAAUGGAUGAAAGCCAAGCGUCUCUCUCUCUCUCUCUCUCUCUCUGCCGUGGAUUAAUCCUCUUAUAUACCAAUUCCUGGAUAAGGCCUCGGCUUCUCACUAGUGAAGAGUUGUAAAUUUGAAUUUUUUUUUUUUUUAAUCUGUAAUGUGUCAUCAAGUCCUCAUGGUUGAUUGGUUUCUGUUUGUUUCUGGAAUCCCUGCUGAGUGUAAAUCAUGAUAUACACGAGAAUGAAUAGAAGAGUGAAAAAUGUCAUAGGAACGUUCACAAUUUGUCAGCACUACGGAACUUAUUAUAUUGUUGAGUAAAUAGCGUAAUGACUCGCAAUUUACCUA